CGUGAGAACCAAAGCCACUGAGAUUGGAGCUGGAGGUUGUUAUGAGUCCUCACCAUUGUAGUCUUCCAGAUUGAAUCAUCUAAAGCUUUUCACAGCUUUUGCAUUGACAUCAACACCCUUUAAAUCAUCCGAACUGUGAGAUUUUGAUGUAAGGAAUUCAUCAAAAUUCUGGUUUGACAUUAGAGUUGGGAUUUACGAAUAAGAAUGGCAACGGGGCGGGGAUUACAUUUCCCAUCGCUGACCCCGACCCCCAAAUCACCCCCCAUCCCUGUCCUCGACUCCCAAAUCAUCACAGGAUGACACUUAACCAACAAUGCCGGCGUCAACAGGUGAAACUCUCUCUCUCUCUCUUAUGGAUUUCCUUAACCGUUUGGUUGAUUUUUCCCUCCACCGGACAACACAAAUUGGCAACGUUAAGGUUAGCAGUGUGGAUUCUAUCUAGGCUACCCUAAUCACUUCUCACCAAUCCAUACGACAUACAAAGGAUUGUUGGAUUGUUAUAGCCACAACCACUGCUUUGUCUGAGUCAUCUCAACAACCUCCAGAAACAGCGGCAACUCCAGAAGUCCCGGCCCAAGCCCUGACGGCAACGCCAACCAAGAAGAAAUGGUUUGAGUAGCCUAGCGAUAGCAUUUUCUGUCUCAUAGUCCAUGUUCUUAAGGUCAGUAGAAUCAUCGACCGCAAGGGCGAACUAGUCAAGAAGAUAUGCAAGGAGACUCGCACUCGCGUUCGCAUUCUAGAUUGACCCAUUGGCACUUCUGAUCACAUUGUGUGCUCGUGUGAUGAUACACUGGUUUUCAGAUGAUACAGAAUCAUGGCAUGUUGAUUAUGGCAUAUAUGUAACUUGGUUUUCAGAUGAUAUACACUGGUUUCAUUACAAAGAUUCAUGAGGUUACCUAGUCCACCCCUUCCAAGAGCCCCAGAUCAGUGGAAUCAUCAUAAGUGUUUCAUGGCCUUCCACGUGGACCCAAAUGUUCUUGACAGAACCCAAUAGGGGAAGAUGAUCAAUUCUAGCUGGGGUUUUGGGCUUACAAAUGUUCUUGACAGAACCCAAUAAGGGAAAUCCUGGUACGAUGUACACAUGACAAAAAUAGCGGUCUUCAAGCGCAUAUUAUUUUUCAGGUCUGAUACUCCUGUACAAAAAUGAUAUCCAUUUACAACUCUUCAUCUCUUCCAUCCAUGAACAGGGGAGAAAGAAUUUAUGAAGGGAAUUGAUUUAUUUUCUGUUUCAAACUCCCCUUGUUAAAGCAUUAAUGCCACUGGAUGCCAGAUCAACUCAGCAGACUGUUGUAGGCUGAGUGUCCCCUUUGGUCACCUUCUGCUGCAAUAUUUCUGAUGUUCUUGGGGGUGAAAAAUAGUUUAUUUAUUUAUUUUGUUCCGAGAAUACCAGAAUCAUUCCAUUGGUGCA